UACGUAGGGGGCUAGCGUUGUCCGGAUUUAUUGGGCGUAAAGAGCGUGUAGGCGGCCUUUUAAGUCCUGCGUGAAAUCCUGCGGCUCAACCGCAGACGGUCGUGGGAAACUGGAAGGCUAGAGUGCGGGAGAGGAGAGUGGAAUUCCCGGUGUAGCGGUGAAAUGCGUAGAUAUCUGGAGGAACACCGGUGGCGAAGGCGGCGUCCUGGACCAAUUCUGACACUGAGGAGCGAAAGCCAGGGGAGCAAACGGG
rnacentral:rRNA from 1 species